rnacentral:rRNA from 1 species
UGGAAAGGCGCGCGAUACAGGGUGACAGCCCCGUACACAAAAGCGCAUGUGCUGUGAGCUCGAUGAGUAGGGCGGGACACGUGGUAUCCUGUCUGAAUAUGGGGGGACCAUCCUCCAAGGCUAAAUACUCCUGACUGACCGAUAGUGAACCAGUACCGUGAGGGAAAGGCGAAAAGAACCCCGGCGAGGGGAGUGAAAAAGAACCUGAAACCGUGUACGUACAAGCAGUGGGAGCCCCACCACCAAAGCAUUUGCUGUACCGCGUUGACGGAGCGAAGCGACGUCAAACCGAUAAAACAGCAGUGUAAAGUGAGCCGCAGGGCGCUUUGCGCGACAGCGCAAAGGCAGGCGGUUUCGCGUAGCGAAAGCGAAUGCUUUGGGGUGGGGUGACUGCGUACCUUUUGUAUAAUGGGUCAGCGACUUAUAUUCUGUAGCAAGGUUAACCGAAUAGGGGAGCCGGAGGGAAACCGAGUCUUAAUUGGGCGUUAAGUUGCAGGGUAUAGACCCGAAACCCGGUGAUCUAGCCAUGGGCAGGUUGAAGGUUGGGUAACACUAACUGGAGGACCGAACCGACUAAUGUUGAAAAAUUAGCGGAUGAUCUGUGGCUGGGGGUGAAAGGCCAAUCAAACCGGGAGAUAGCUGGUUCUCCCCGAAAGCUAUUUAGGUAGCGCCUCGUGAAUUCAUCUCCGGGGGUAGAGCACUGUUUCGGCUAGGGGGCCAUCCCGGCUUACCAACCCGAUGCAAACUGCGAAUACCGGAGAAUGUUAUCACGGGAGACACACGGCGGGUGCUAACGUCCGUCGUGAAGAGGGAAACAACCCAGACCGCCAGCUAAGGUCCCAAAGUCAUGGUUAAGUGGGAAACGAUGUGGGAAGGCCCAGACAGCCAGGAUGUUGGCUUAGAAGCAGCCAUCAUUUAAAGAAAGCGUAAUAGCUCACUGGUCGAGUCGGCCUGCGCGGAAGAUGUAACGGGGCUAAACCAUGCACCGAAGCUGCGGCAGCGAACGUAUCACUUAAAGCGAUUCAGCGGGUUACGAUUGACGGAGCGAAGCGACGUCAAAGCGUAUACAAAGUCGAGUCGGUUUAAGGAUACGUUCGUUGGGUAGGGGAGCGUUCUGUAAGCCUGUGAAGGUGGCCUGUGAGGGUUGCUGGAGGUAUCAGAAGUGCGAAUGCUGACAUAAGUAACGAUAAAGCGGGUGAAAAGCCCGCUCGCCGGAAGACCAAGGGUUCCUGUCCAACGUUAAUCGGGGCAGGGUGAGUCGACCCCUAAGGCGAGGCCGAAAGGCGUAGUCGAUGGGAAACGGGUUAAUAUUCCCGUACUUGGUGUUACUGCGAAGGGGGGACGGAGAAGGCUAUGUUGGCCGGGCGACGGUUGUCCCGGUUUAAGCGUGUAGGUGUGUGUUCCAGGUAAAUCCGGUU